GACAGAGGGUGCAAACGUUGUUCGGAUUUACUGGGCGUAAAGCGCGUGUAGGCGGCUUUGCAAGUCGGAUGUGAAAUCCCACGGCUCAACCGUGGAAGUGCAUCCGAAACUGCAUCGCUGGAGUCUCGGAGAGGAAGGUGGAAUGCUAGGUGUAGAGGUGAAAUUCGUAGAUAUCAAGCAGAACACCUGCGGCGAAGGCGGCCUUCUGGACGAUGACUGACGCUGAGACGCGAAAGCGUGGGGAGCAAACAGG
rnacentral:rRNA from 1 species